rnacentral:rRNA from 1 species
AGUGAACGCUGGCGGUAGGCCUAACACAUGCAAGUCGAACGGCAGCACAGUAAGAGCUUGCUCUUACGGGUGGCGAGUGGCGGACGGGUGAGGAAUACAUCGGAAUCUACUUUUUCGUGGGGGAUAACGUAGGGAAACUUACGCUAAUACCGCAUACGACCUACGGGUGAAAGCAGGGGAUCUUCGGACCUUGCGCGAUUGAAUGAGCCGAUGUCGGAUUAGCUAGUUGGCGGGGUAAAGGCCCACCAAGGCGACGAUCCGUAGCUGGUCUGAGAGGAUGACGAGCCAGACGGGGAGUGAGACCGGGCCACGCCCCCAACGGGGGGAAGCAGUGGGGAAUUUGGGAAAGUGGGCGCGAGCCCGUGACAGCAAUGCCGGGUGCAGAAAGAAGCCCUUCGGGUUGUCAACUUCUUUUGUACGGAACGAAACGGCUCUGGUUAAUCCCCGGGGCUAAUGCCGGCACCGUAAGAAUAAGCACGCGCUCCCUACCUG